ensembl:lncRNA
CCUGUAUAGAAGGAAUUUUGGAGCAAUGACUCACCUUGUCCUAGGCAAUAUGAGACAUUUAAUUCUCUGGGUGUCCUCUGUUUGUCUACAGAUUAGGGUGAGCCCUGGCAACAGGCAAGAAAAUGACCUCAUCUCUCAUAGUGGCCAUUGUACCGCAAUCCAGGUAGAGACACUUGUCGUUCUGACAUCAUCUUGGAGAUCUUGUGCCAGAGAACCUCAUAGGAAGAAAAGCAGUGUCAACUCACCAGACUCCCCAGAGUUCCCAGAGACUACGCCAAAAAACAAGGAGCCCUCAUGGGCUCAUUUGUGGUCUCAGGUACAUGAGUCUCAGAGAUCGGCCUUGUAUGUAGUCCUUGGGAAAGAAUGUGCUAAAUCCCGUUGAACUUUGAUGCCAAAAGGAAGAGGAUGCUUUCAUCAUAAAUGCCGAUAUGCUAUACACACAAGGAACAACAGAACCCAGGAG